rnacentral:lncRNA from 1 species
UGCUCUGUCUAUCAUUCUAUCCAUCAUUCUAUCUAUCUAUCUUUUAACUAGCGUUCUAUCUAUCUGUCUGUUCCAUCUAUCGUUCUGUCGCUCUAUCAUUCUAUCUAUUGUUCUGUCAUUCCAUUUAUUGUUCUGUUGCUCUAUCUAUCAUCCCAUCUAUCGUUUUUUGCUCUAUCAUUCUAUCUAUCGUUCUAUCUGUUGUUCCAUCUAUUGUUCUAUCUAUAGUUUUGUUGAUCUAUCUAUCGUUCUAUGACUCUAUCUAUUGUUCUGUCACUCUAUCUAUCAUUCUGUCUAUCACUUUGUCACUCUGUCUAUCGUUCAGUCUGUUGCUCUAUCUACUGUUCUAUAGUUCCAUCUAUGGUUCUGUUGCUCUAUAUAUUGUUCUAUUGUUUUGUUGCUCUAUCUAUCAUUCUAUCUGUUGUUCUGUCUGUCUAUCAUUUUAUCUUUUGCUGUGUUGCUCUAUUGCUCUAUCUGUUGUUCCAUCAUCAUUCUGUCACUCUAUCUAUCAAUCUAUUUAUUGUUCUGCCACUCUAACUUUCGCUCUGUCUGUCGUUCAUCUAUCAUUCUAUCUAUUGCUCUGUCGCUCUAUCUUUCUGUCUAUUGUUCUGUGUAUCGUUCUGUCACUCUAUCUAUUGUUCUAUCAUUCUGUCAUUCUAUCUAUAGUUCUAUCGAUCUAUGAAUCUGUCUCUCACAGUGUUUAACUGUCCAGUUAAAGCAUUUACUAGUCUAGACACAACAGUAGCCCACUUUUUCAUUGCUCUCUAUCCUUUUUCCCUCUAAACACAUUCAAAUUUUAUUGGAUUUUUACGAAUAUCCAACAUUGGUAAAUGGAAAAAAUGUUAAAAGAAAAAAAUGAAAGAAAAAAGAAGCUUGUUUCCAAUGCCAAAAUACACAAAGUAAAAUUUUUAAAUACCAACCAUUACAGAUAAAGUUUUCAGAAUCUUUCGACUCGUUUGGUUGAAUUAAUGUGUGAUAAAUUAAGCAUUUUUUCUGUGUUAUUUGUGAGUGCGUAGAUUUUGUGUGAUGGAUUCAUAGGUUUUAUGGUGCAUUAUAUCGUAUUAGUGCAUAUCCAAGAAACCAAGUAUGCUUUAAUUUCAAGAACAAGCUCUUGAGUAAGAAAACAAGAGCUUUGUGGCUUUCCUGAGGAGAGCUCGUAUGUGUAUGAGCCCCUCCGCCUGGAAGCUCACAAACGCGUCCAUUCAGAGAGGAAGUCAAGUGUGGCAGAACAUGUGAUUGUUUCAGAGACAGAGACAAAGAGGGAGAAGCGUAUUUAAUAACUGCAGCACGUUUGAGACGCUCAUUGCAGAAGCAGUCAAAUAGGAUGUUACUCAAUUUUCCAGCAGAUCAAGUCUGUAUCAUAAUGAUAUUUUUCAAUUUCUGAUUGGUGUAAAGGUGCCUCAGUGAUGCUAAGUGGAUUUGGAUAGUUUCCAGGGUGUUGCUAUGUUGAUAUGCAUGUAAACCUGUUUAAUUUAAACAGUAAUACAGUAAUACAGAAUAAAAUGAAGCAACACUGAUUAGUUAUUUUUAACUAAUAAGGAUGACAAAAGCAAAUAAAAAUGACUAAAAUAAAUAAAUAAAUACUAUAAUAUUAUUAUAAUAGUAUAUAAAUAAUUCUAAAUUAACACUGCUUCCUGUUGACUUGAAGUGCUGGAAAUUAGUCAAAUUAGUAAUAGUAAUACAUAUAAACCUUAAUACGAAUAGCUAGGCCAGAUCAUAACCAUAUAAGAGUAGUAAAUGAAAAGCUGCUUAUGACAUGGAAGACAUAAAUCUCUGUUCUGCUCUGAAACAGGAAAUAAAACAAUGAAAACCAUUUAUGUCAUUGCUGAUAACCUUUAUUGCAACCUUUAGGACUUUCACUUCUAUUUGCAUGUAAAUGUCUGUAAGUGUUUGAUCUAAGAGCUCAGUCGUGUGGGAAUAAGGCAAAGUGGACGCUCACACACACACAAAUACACACCACACUCGCAUUCAUACACAUAUCUGUCAUAGUCACAUUUGGACACACUGACCGGCCGUCUCAGCUGUCCCGCUCGGGUGUGGCUACUGUAAUAGUGAAGGAUAUAAGCCCGUUGACUUUGGGGAGUCAUGGACCCUAUUAAGGGAGAGACGCUGUUAAAAGUCCAGCUAUUACGGGUAAGUUAAGUUGAAAUUGUGUAUGUGUGUGCUUGUAUUUGGUGCACUAUAUGCUUUGACAUGAAGUUAAAGUCAUGUCAGACUAAGGCAGGUUGUCUGGUACUGGUUGUUCUGACUGAGUGAAGCAUGGUUAUGGCUUAUAGUUAAGAUUUGAAAUAAAAUAAAUGGAGUUUUAGCUAUUGAGAUGUGAGAUUGAAAUUGAGACAAUUACAGUGGGUACGGAAAGUAUUCAGACCCCCUUAAAUUUUUCACUCUUUGUUAUAUUGCAGCCAUUUGCUAAAAUCAUUUAAGUUUUUCAUUUUUUUCCUCAUUAAUGUACACAAAGCACCCCAGACAGAAAAACACAGAAUUGUUGACAUUUUUGCACAUUUAUUAAAAAAGCAAAACUGAAAUAUCACAUGGUCCUAAGUAUUCAGACCCUUUGGUGUGACACUCAUAAAUUUAACUCAGGUGCUGUCCAUUUCUUCUGAUCAUCCUUGAGAUGGUUCUACACCUUCAUUUGAGUCCAGGAUUAUACUGAUUGGACUUGAUUGGAAAAGCCACACACCCUGUCUAUAUAAGACCUUACAGCUCACAGUGCAUGUCAGAGCAAAUGAGAAUCAUGAGGUCAAAGGAACUGCCUGAAGAGCUCAGAGACAGAAUUGUGGCAAGGCACAGAUCUGGCCAAGGUUCAAAAAAAAUUCUGCUGCACUUAAGGUUCCUAAGAGCACAGUGGCCUCCAUAAUCCUUAAAUGGAAGACGUUUGGGACGACCAGAACCCUUCCUAGAGCUGGCCGUCCGGCCAAACUGAGCUAUCGUGGGAGAAGAGCCUUGGGGAGAGAGGUAAAGAAGAACCCAAAGAUCACUGUGGCUAAGCUCCAGAGAUGCAGUUGGGAGAUGGGAGAAAGUUGUAGAAAGUCAACCAUCACUGCAGCCCUCCACCAGUCAGGGCUUUAUGGCAGAGUGUCCCAACGGAAGCCUCUCCUCAGUGCAAGACACAUGAAAGCACACCUGAAG